GCGUUGGUAGUUCAGUGGUAGAAUUCUGGCCUUCCAUGCAGGAGACACGGGUUCAAUUCCCAGCCAGUCCA
rnacentral:tRNA from 1 species